CCGUCCCGGGGCUGGGCGAUGCGGGAGGUGCCGUGUCCCGGGUUCCGCCGGUUCUCGGCCAAUCGGCUCCGAGCCGCUCACUCCCCGCCCCGCUCGCCCCAUGUGCAGAAAUAGCCCCGGCGCGGCCGGCAGCGGCUUUUCCGCGGGGAGCGGAGCGGGGCGGGCUCCGCCGGAGCAUCAUCCCACCCCAGCUCAUCCCAUCCCGUCCCAUCGCACCCCAUCCCAUCCAGUCCCGUCCCAUCCCAGCUCAUCCCAUCCCAUCCCAUCUCAUCCCACCGCACCCCGUCCCAUCCCCGCAGCCCCAUGGCCCCGCGGGCGGGCGGGACGCGGAGCCCUGGGGAUGCGGGAGCCCUGCGGCGGAGCGCCGCGCUGGGUGAUGCUCUGCCCCGUGCCCGGUUGGUCCCCGCGGGCAGGCGCCCAGGGGAACGUCCCCUGCUCUCCUGAACAGCUCUGGCUCCUCUCCCCUGGGCUCUCGCCAUGGACACUCUGAAAACAACCUACAUCGCGGUGGAGCUGGUCAUCGCCGUGCUGUCCAUCGCUGGCAACGUCCUGGUCUGCUGGGCCGUGGCCAUCAACAGCACCUUGAAGAACGCGACCAACUAUUUCCUGGUGUCUCUGGCCGUGGCCGACAUCGCCGUGGGUUUGUUAGCCAUCCCCUUUGCCAUCACCAUCAGCAUCGGCUUCCAGGUGGAUUUUCACAGCUGCCUCUUCUUCGCCUGCUUCGUGCUGGUGUUGACCCAAAGCUCCAUUUUCAGCUUGCUGGCGGUGGCCAUCGACAGGUACCUGGCUAUUAAGAUCCCGCUGAGUGCUUGGAUGAGGAAGUUGGAUCUCGUGAGAUCAGUUUCUACUCCCCCGCAAUCAGAGAUGAGAGGAGUGGAUCAGAAAUACUCUGAGAGGAUCGUUUACGUGUUUCCAGAAGGGAAGUGUUCUUUCUGUCUGACAUAGUGGCAAGUUUUUCUUCUAUUCUCUCUGUUUUUCACAGUCCUGGUCCCGUGAGGUCGGUCUAUACAGCUGCGCAGGAUGAAAUCCCAGGGCAGUUUUGCUUUGCUUCGGGAUCCUUUUCCAACAUUGCUUUCUCACUCCAUCUUAGGCCAAACCUUCUAUGCUAUUUACACAAACAUCUUCAUUCCUACAAACAUUUUCUAGCUGGACACACAGAGCCCCUUCGCUGUAAAUGGAGAUCCACCCUUGUCUGGGCUGAAGUGUGAUGUUUGGAUUAAACUUGGUCUCGGUAUUGCAGCCCAUUUCAUUGCUCUCAGAGGUGGCCAGGGAGUAAAAUGCCUUUAAAAGGAUGGGUCUUCUCACUGCUAGGAACGCAGGGCAACGGACAGGGUAUUGCUUUGGCAGUAGAUUUAGGGACUGGUACUAAAAGGCUGGUUUUAUUUGUGUAGCCAAUAUCGAGAGAGCAUAGAGUAGGUUAUACAGGCGGAGAGAGUUGGGAUUGUUCAGCCUGGAGAAGAGAAGGCUCCGAGAGACCUUAGAGUGACCUUCCAGUACUGGAGGGGCUACAAGAAAGCUGGGGAGGGGCUGUUCACAAAGGCUUGUGGUGGUAAGACGAGGAGCAACGGGUACAAGCUGGAGAGGGGCAGAUUUAGACUGGACGUAAGGAAGAACUUCUUCACGAUGAGAGUGGUGAGACCCUGGCCCAGGUUUCCCAGGGAAGCUGUGGCUGCCCCAUCCCUGGAGGUGUUCCAGGCCAGGUUGGAUGGGGCUUGGGCAGCCUGAUCCAGUGGGAGGUGUCCCUGCCCAUCACGGGGGGUUGGAACUGGAUGAUCUUUAAGCUCCCUUCCAACCCAAACUACUCUAUGAUGAUUCUACGAUAAACUACACUGGCAAAACCGUUCUGCGCUGCACUACAUUUUUCCAACCAAGGCUUAAUUAGCUCUGUCUCAUCAGCAUUGUUAUUUGGGACUCUCCUGUGUAGGGACAAGAGCGGGACUUGAUGAUCCUUGUAGGUCUCUUCCAACUCAGGACACUCUAUCAUUCUGCAGUUAUUCCCAAAUACAUUCCCGUUGUGCUGCCCGUGGCCGGAGGGGGGAAGAAGUUGUCCACCCACCCACUGUGGGGAGGUGGACGCACCAUCUUUGGAAGGAGGUGUGCAUUGCGGAAAGGAAAAGCUGGUCCUAAAUUUACAGUAAUGACAACCUCAGGGAAAGUUUCUUUUCCUCCCUAAAACACUGGUUUUGGGAUCAGCGCAGAGGCUGAUAACAGCCCACCAAGUAUUAAGCGUUUAAGAGGAUGAUUUGUACCCAGCCCUAUCCAGCAAUGACAAUAAAUAAUGCAGUUGUUGCAGAGCAGUCGAGUGUCCCUGUUGUGUCCACCAGUUCGCUGCGGAAAGCUCUGCAGGGACACUGAGGGCUGAGUGCCGUAUUAUUUCAUACUGUUUGAGGGCUAUUUCAGCCCACGGAGACGCUGGGCGGGCCUGCAGGCUGGGAGCAGGACUUUGCACUGCAGCCAGGCUAAUAAUGGAUUUUUCAGUUCUGUGGCUGAACCAAAAAUCCCACGGGGAAGAGGAAAAUCGUUGCAGUCAAACUGAAACGGUGAUGUUUGGAAGUUUUAGUGAAACAAAGUCAUCCUUACCAGCCUGGUAGGCUUUUGUUUGAGUUGCUUAACCCUUCUGAUGUUGCUGUGCUUUGAAAUGGAGGCACCUUCGCUGGAAAGGAACAAACAAAUUCUCACGUAGACAAUUGCAGAAUAAAAAUCUUACAGCAUUUGAAAAUGGUGUCUUAGAGCCCUCCCUCUUCUGGCUAAAAAUAUUUGCUGAAUUUGACCUGAAGCCAUGAAUUCUUUCUGUCCCUUGAAACUCGUAUUUUGUUUGUUUGCGUUUGACAAAUUUACCCUUUGUGGAGGAGCCACAGCCCGCGCUGCCCACUCCGUGCAGCUGCAGCUCUGAGACCUUCCCCGGGUCCCUUCUCCCCUGCCUGACACACCAGGAUGCAGAUUCUUGUCCUCAGAUGUGCUUUAACCCUGCCUGGUGUCCUGCACCCAUCCUGCCUGGACCGCAACGCUGCUGCCGGCGUGCGCCCAUCCCUGGGCUGCGCCAGGGACACGACACCAUCCCUGCUCUCGCCUCCCAUCCUGUCCCCUCCAAAAGUUCGCUCCCCCGCAGCACUUCCUCCAAGCAGAAUAUCAAAGCCGAGCAAUUGAGCAUCUUUCAGCAGCAGUAAAUCCAUCCUGUGGAGAGUUUGGCACGAGAGCGGUGCGAGGCUUUUGCUCACUGGCUUUCUCCAGAGCUGGAUUUCACCCUACAGUCCCAUUGCAACGAGCCCAAGAUUUGUAGGUGGAAUAAAAUCUUUCCCUUUUAUUUGCAUUAACCAAAGUCCUUUGGCACGGCUAGUAAAUGUAGGUAUGGAUAGAAGCCUGGAACAAAUGUGUCAGGAAUUAGGGAGGGAGAAGAGUACCUGUAUUCAGAGAGCAAAGAUAACGCGACGCCCUGCACGGCAUCACGCUGUGUGUGCCCCUGUGCGGCUGGUGACCUCCUGCAGAACCCUGAGCCUUGUACUGCUGCUGCCUACCCGGCAAACACCCCAGCUGAGACCCGCAGAGGGAAAACUACUCCCAGCUCCCUGUGAUCCGAGCUGGUGUGGUGCUUGUUCUCCUCCCCGGAUUUAGUUCUCUCCCAUCUUCAAUUUUAUCCCCAGCAGAAGUGCAGGGCUGAUGUUCCUGGGCACCUUUGCCGUGAGCUAGAACAGUGCAUCCAUACCCAUGCUCUCUCCCUUUCCACACCUCGCUGAACCCUCGCUGCCAGAGCAUCCGCACUUGGACCACGAUGGGUUUAUGGCAUUGUGCUGUUCUGCCUCUCAUGCUGCCGGGCUCCCCAAUGAGCUGCUGCCCCUCUUAUCUUUGACCUAAUCAAGGCAACGGUCCAGCUUAUUUCUGCCCUCCUUAUGGGGAGAAAUUCCAUUUGGAUUGUUGUUUUUUCUGCCUGACCCUUUUAGUUGGGCAGUGUCCUGCCUCGAGGUGCGCCGGCUGAUGCUGUAGGGAUGCUUCUCCUCGCUGUGCCCCACAGCUGCAGGCGAGAGGGUUCCCUCUGUGUCCUCCAGCAAAGAAUUGUUCUGGUUCCUUUUAACUCCCAGCUUGGCCUUCAGCAAAGCAAACUGGUGGAUAUUUACGGGAGCUGGGAGGGCUGAAGCCGCUGGGGAGGAAAAUCCUCCGCGAGAGCCUUGGUCUUCACCUGCCAUUUCCUGUGUGCCAUCCUCACGCAGAAUUGCAGCUGCUCCUCUUUCUUCUGCCCUUGCUUCAUUUCCUUUCUGAAGGGAAAUCCUUGCAGUGCCCUCCGUCUGAACUCCCGGGCGUGUUUUGCUGUUCAUGUGCGGCUCACACGCAUCGCUCCUGAUCCUGAGACCUGAGCGGCACAGGAAACGUCGUUAUGGCAGAGCUGUGGCUGCUCUGUCUCUCCCAUCCAUCAGACGGCUGUGCCGUCGGUUCAGACAUCAACGUGCAACAACCUUGGGAAGCGCGUUGAGGGCUGUGAGCUGUCGUAUCUUGGAGGAAGUUUGUGUCAUUUGAGGUUGACUCAGGCAGAACGUGGGGGUUUUUGGUGCUGUACUUGGGGGCUGUGGCUCUCUUAGGGCUGCCGCUUGCUCCGGGCUUUGGAUGCAGCCGAGACUGGAAAUGCAAUUAAAAAAUCAGGAAUAAUCGCGUGUGCUCUCCCAGCCAUAAACAAGAGGGGAGAAAUUGCAGUUGUGUGUAGUCGUGAGCAGCUUCGUUGCCUAAAAUGCCUGUCCCAAAUUUUUAUGGUUUUCCCCCACCCCGAAAGCAAAAAAAAACUGAUGGGAAGCGAAUUAAUUGGCUUUGAGACCUCUGCCCCAACGCAGCUCCUGCAGGAGCAGGGGGGUAGCGGGGAUGCUGGGGAGCGUUUGGCCGAGGGCACCAGAGCCUGAAGCCAGAGCUUUGGGUUUAGGAGCUUUGUUUGGUUUUGGUCAGCUCAAAGUAUAAAAAAAUACAGGCUGAUUUUUAGAUGAAAAAAAAGGGAACUGUUGAAAUCUAGACUUUUACUCCAGCAGCAAAAGCUUUGGACCUCUCUGCAAAAAAGUACGUUAAAGGAAAAUGUUUUGACAGUGAGUUGUUUUAUUUUACAGUUAAAAGUUUUUGCUUUGUUAAUGAAUGAGUUGGUUCUUGGGGGGUUUAUGAAUUUGCUGCUUGCCAGAGCAAUCGGCACAGGCUGCAAAACUGAGUCUUGAGGAGUGUUUUGCCCCGGCUGCGCUGGGCAGUCGCUGCCCUGGGCGUUGGGGCUCCUGUUCCUGCGUUAUAGGCAGCUUCAAUCCGCAGGGUGCCAGCAAUCAGUGACUCCAGCUGUGCCUACAGAUGUGUCGGGCUCUUCCCCUCCCUUUGCGAAGUCUGACACCGGGCUCAGGGAAUUUGUAUGUGUCGAUGAGCGGAUUAUCUCCCUGAUCCCGUGGCUGACAUCAGGGCUGGGCAUGAGCCACAAAUAACCUGCGAGUCCAGCGGUGGGUGUGUGUCUGUGCCCUCACGCUCACCCUUCAGGGCCAUGUGUGUCACUGAGCACUACAACCAGAGCUGCUGGACCUGCCGGGGACACGGGACAGAGCACGGUUUGUGCAGAGGAGCAACUGUGCAGGUGGACCAGUGUCACCGGGGCUCUGCCUGUACCCCCUGUCUAACACACUGGGUGUCAGCGCCCAUCACCCCGCAUCGCGGCGUUCACACCCUCCCUCCCACCCAAGCCCCGGUGCCGGGUUCCUGGGAGAGCGGUGCUGCAGGGAUGGCUUUCAGACGCGUCCUCCCUCUCCGAUUUGCCUGUCGUGCUGCGAUGGUGUGGCUGGAACGUGGAUGCUGUUGUUGCCGGCUGGUUGGAGCCCAGCUGCGCCUGGGCAGGGAGGUAUAACAGUCUGGUGACCGGCAAGCGGGCAAGAGGACUCAUUGCUGUGCUGUGGGUCCUGUCCUUUGCAAUUGGAUUGACUCCACUUAUGGGCUGGAAUAAAGCCAUGAGCGGUUGUCCCAAUGC